UAUAAAGCGAACUGAUCGCUGGGAUUUAUUAUUCGAGGGAGAGGGAAAAAAAAGAUCUCAAACACGACAGUGCAAAGUCAAAUAGUAGAAAACAAUCUCAUAGGAGAAAGAAGGGCGCAGAACACGAUCAAUACAUUCAAAAAACAGGAGGCGAUAGAAUAGGCACCCGAUCAGGAUAUGCAAGCAUCGGGAGGCCAGUUCCAAGGUGAUAUGUUCCAGAAGUUCCUAACGCAGCAGCCACCGACUCCAUUUAUUACGUUGAGGAAAGACCUUCAAGAUUGGGACGAGAGCUGGACGGAGAGAGAGAGCGAAUGA
rnacentral:lncRNA from 1 species